rnacentral:lncRNA from 1 species
CAUUAUGCUUGCCGAGUCCGAGCAAAAGCAUGUAAUAUUCAUGGUACGGGAGCUUCAAGGUUUCAAAUUCUCCCGAUUUUAUUAUCAGGGUUCAAACUCUUCUCUAGCAACUGAAUUAUGAGUGUUAGUUAUAAUUUGCCGUGUUAGCUUGUUGCAGUUAAAAGAUUUGGGCAGGGGAAAAAUGAGUGCAGGUGAGCACCUUGGUGCUGCUGAACCAUGGCCUCCAUUUUGCCGCCACAGGGAGCUGGAGCUGGUUGACAGAGAGUCUACUGGAAGUGACGGGCACUCUCCCAUCAGUGUCUCCACUGCAAACAAAAGGUCAGC